GGGGAGCCGGGCCCGGCCCGCCGCCGCCUGGCGCGGGCUGCCCGGGGCGGGCAGUGAGGGUUCCGCGGCACCCACCGGAAAACUGCAUCUCUGGUUUUUUCCUUCCAUGUCUGGGCCAGCCCUGGAGACAGUAAAUGUCUGUGGGCAAUGGUCCACAGGUGAAAUCUCUGCCCUGCUGGAGAAUGUGACAGUGAUCCGUGUAGUUUCUAAUCAGCUGAAGUCCCUUGUCACUCAAGUCAAACUACGCCACAAUGCACCAACAGCAAAUGAUGCCUGAGGAGACAUUGUGAAUCUGACUGUGGAAAGAGCCUGUGCACAUCUCAGGGAGUAUCUCUUCUGGGAUCUCUCCAACACUGCUGUGUCAAGCUACAGCUCAUAUUUAUAGGUGCUGCUACACUAAAUAAGACUUUCAGCAAUACUCUUAGGGAAAGGCUUUGGAGCUCUCACCACUGAAGGCAAUGUCAUGGAAAGCUUGUACACUGCCAUGGCUGAUAGCCUCCUGCUGCUGAAAGGUGUUUGUAGCUUCUGGCAGUCUCCUGAUGACAGCAGCUGUCAGUGACAGACGUCAUUUAGCAAAUUCUAGUUCAGCUAUAGUGACCAUAGACCGGCGGAGGGGGAGUGCCGGACGAGAGAGAGAGCAGACCCUGCCACGGGCAUUAAACUGUGCGGGGUUUCUUCUGACCAACGACUCACAAACAGCUCCUGAAAGACUGGGACUGAGCCCGGCUCUGGUGAGCGAUGCCGAAGGGGUGGACCUGACCCUGUCGUGCAGCUCCCGAGGGGGCCAGAUUGCCAGGGGGGCUCCUGCCUUCUCGCUGGUGAUGCUCCAGAGGGCAGGCGGGAGGAGGUCACGCCUGGGUGCCGGAGUGAAAGUCACGUUCAGAAGAGUGUGGACUGAAUGAAGGACACGGUAAGGUGAGAACGUACUGAUUUAAUAUAUGCACUACUAUUUUGCAAGGAACUGUCUUACAGGUUUCUUUCUUUGUCAAAGCAUUCAGCUACUGUAAUAGGAUUUAAAUGUAUAAUGAGUUGAACUUUAAGAGAUCUAUAGCAGCAGUUAACUAGCAAAGGAAAGUCCAUGUCUAGCUAUUUCCUGCUGCUACAGUGUUUUAAUAACAAUGAUACACAAAGACUUGUUUUGUUUAGCAUGCGCCGUAUUACUGCAUUUUAGACAAAGUCUUGAUUCUCUUAGUCCAAGACAAAGUCUCAAUUGUCUCCAUUUGAGACAAAAUCUCAGGACAAAAAUAUGUAUUUGAAAUGUCCCAAACUACAGAGGAGUAAGGAAUCAGAUUAGCAUCAACUUCUGCUUCUAGCUACAAUGAAAACAAAGAUAAGGCAAGUAUGUAUUUUCUAACUGGAGGGACACAUUUAGGAAAGAUUUUGUACCUCAUCAUUCCCUAAUUAUGAAAUCAGAAAAGUGAAAAUAUUCUUCUCAUUCUCUGCACACACAUCCUUACCCCAAGCAGACCUGUUCUUACUGUGAUGAGAUUUGUUUUCCUACAGCAGAGUUUCCCUUUGAGAGCUCACAGGCAUGGAGAGCAGUUUUGUUUACCACCCCCGGGUGCAAAACUCGUUAACUAAUAUUUAUUUUUGUGUUUUCAGCUUUCAGCAAUGAGGCAGGUUGAUGGAUAGUGAAGAUGGUGGUGGUGGGGAGAAUGGUAAGGAAAACUCAGGAGCUGGUUUUACAUCUUUCAGUUGUGCAGGCUCAUAUGCAAAAUGGCUAUCAGUCUUUUAGCUAUACCAAAAGAAGAAACCCCAGCCCUCGGCAAUGGUGACCCUUCUAUCUUGGUUUUGGCUUGUUUGUUUUUUUCAGGAUGGUAGGAAACAAAGCACAGCCAGCCUCCUGACUUUUUGCAAGUUAUAAAUGCUGUACAAAAUUCUAGUUUCAAGACCAGAAAAUGUUUUCUCCUGUUGUUCAGAGUGACUCCAGAUGCUGAUGUACUUAGUUACACAGCACAAGUAACCCAACUGGAAUGAAAAAGCAAGGUAAUUGAGUUUAUAUUCAUCUGUCAAUAAUCCGAAGGGACAGACUGUUCAGCCUGCCAAGUUUGCUCUGCUUAUGCUUGCAGAGUAUGAACUUAAACUGACUGAAGAUUGCCGCAGUAGAUUCUCUCUGAUGAAUAGAGGAUCUCUUCUGCUGCAACGUGGUUACACAUUCCCCCAUGUCUCACAGUAUCAGGAGAUAAGCUGAAUGUU